GAUGAACGCUGGCGGCGUGCUUAACACAUGCAAGUCGUACGGACGGACGAUUAGCUUGUUUCCCUGUUGUUAGCGGCUGACGGGCGAGUAAGUCGUGUACAACCUACUUUUAAGACUGGGAUAACUACGGGAAACCGGAGUUAAUAUCUGAUGAUAUUUUGAACUGCAUGGUUCAAAACUGAAAGACGGUUGUGCGGACACUCAUAGAUGGAUCCGCGCUGUAUUAGCUAGUUGGUAAGGUAACGGCUUACCAAGGCAACGGUGCAUAGCCGACCUGAGCGGGUGAACGCGCACACUGGAAGUGAGAGGCGGUCCUGACUCCUACGGGAGGCAGCAGUAGGGAAUCUUCCGCACUGGGCGAAAGCCUGACGGAGCAACGCAGCGUGAGUGAUGCAGCUCUUCGGAUCGUAAGACUCUGUUAUUAGUGAAGAACAUUUUUGUAAGUAACUGUGCACAUCUUGACGGUACCUAAUCAGAAAGCCACGGCUAACUACGUG
rnacentral:rRNA from 1 species